rnacentral:rRNA from 1 species
GACGAACGCUGGCGGCGCGCCUAACACAUGCAAGUCGAACGGAGUUACAUUGAAAGCUUGCUGGAUAUGUAACUUAGUGGCGGACGGGUGAGUAACACGUGAGUAAUCUGCCUUCCAGAGGGGAAUAACGUUUGGAAACGAACGCUAAUACCGCAUAAGCCCACAGGUCGGCAUCGACCAGAGGGAAAAGGAGCAAUCCGCUUUGAGAUGGCCUCGCGUCCGAUUAGCUAGUUGGUGAGGUAACGGCCCACCAAGGCGACGAUCGGUAGCCGGACUGAGAGGUUGAACGGCCACAUUGGGACUGAGACACGGCCCAG